GACGAACGCUGGCGGCGUGCUUAACACAUGCAAGUCGAACGGAAAGGCCCUGCUUUUGUGGGUUGCUCGAGUGGCGAACGGGUGAGUAACACGUGAGUAUCCUGCCCUUGACUUUGGGAUAACUUCAGGAAACUGGGGCUAUUACCGGAUAGGAUCUCCUGCUGCAUGUUGGGGGUUGGAAAGUUUCGGCGGUUGGGGAUGGGCUCGCGGCUUAUCAGCUUGUUGGUGAGGUAGUGGCUUACCAAGGCUUUGACGGGUAGCCGGCCUGAGAGGGUUACCAGCCACAUUGGGACUGAGAUACGGCCCAGACUCCUACGGGAGGCAGCAGUGGGAAAUAUUACACAGUGGCCGGAAGCCUGAUGCGGCAACGCCGCGAUCGGGAUAACGGGCUUCGAGUUGUAAACAGCUGUCGACGGUAACGAAGCGUGCGUGACGGUAAUGGGUAAAGAAGCACCGGCUAACUACGUG
rnacentral:rRNA from 1 species